rnacentral:rRNA from 1 species
GACGAACGCUGGCGGCGUGCCUAAUACAUGCAAGUUGAGCGCUGAAGGUUGGUACUUGUCCCGACUGGAUGAGCAGCGCACGGGUGAGUAACGCGUGGGGAAUCUGCCUUUGGGCGGGGGACAACAUUUGGAAACGAAUGCUAAUACCGCAUAAAAACUUUAAACACAAGUUUUAAGUUUGAAAGAUGCAAUUGCAUCACUCAAAGAUGAUCCCGCGUUGUAUUAGCUAGUUGGUGAGGUAAAGGCUCACCAAGGCGAUGAUACAUAGCCGACCUGAGAGGGUGGUCGGCCACAUUGGGACUGAGACACGGCCCAAACGCCUACGGGAGGCAGCAGUAGGGAAUCUUCGGCAAUGGACGAAAGUCUGACCGAGCAACGCCGCGUGAGUGAAGAAGGUUUUCGGAUCGUAAAACUCUGUUGGUAGAGAAGAACGUUGGUGAGAGUGGAAAGCUCAUCAAGUGACGGUAACUACCCAGAAAGGGACGGCUAACUACGUG